UACGAAGGGGGCUAGCGUUGCUCGGAAUCACUGGGCGUAAAGCGCACGUAGGCGGAUUCCUAAGUCGGUGGUGAAAUCCUGGAGCUCAACUCCAGAACUGCCUCCGAUACUGAGAGUCUUCGAGUCCGGGAGAGGUGAGUGGAACUGCGGGUGUAGAGGUGAAAUUCGUAGAUAUUCGCAAGAACACCAGUGGCGAAGGCGGCUCACUGGCCCGGUACUGACGCUGAGGUGCGAAAGCGUGGGGAGCAAACAGG
rnacentral:rRNA from 1 species